rnacentral:rRNA from 1 species
GACGAACGCUGGCGGCGCGCCUAACACAUGCAAGUCGAACGAGAGAGAGGGAGCUUGCUUCCUCAAUCGAGUGGCGAACGGGUGAGUAACGCGUGAGGAACCUGCCUCAAAGAGGGGGACAACAGUUGGAAACGACUGCUAAUACCGCAUAAGCCCACAGGUCGGCAUCGACCAGAGGGAAAAGGAGCAAUCCGCUUUGAGAUGGCCUCGCGUCCGAUUAGCUAGUUGGUGAGGUAAUGGCCCACCAAGGCGACGAUCGGUAGCCGGACUGAGAGGUUGAACGGCCACAUUGGGACUGAGACACGGCCCAGACUCCUACGGGAGGCAGCAGUGGGGAAUAUUGCACAAUGGGGGAAACCCUGAUGCAGCGACGCCGCGUGGAGGAAGAAGGUCUUCGGAUUGUAAACUCCUGUUGUUGAGGAAGAUAAUGACGGUACUCAACAAGGAAGUGACGGCUAACUACGUGCCAGCAGCCGCGGUAAAACGUAGGUCACAAGCGUUGUCCGGAAUUACUGGGUGUAAAGGGAGCGCAGGCGGGAAGACAAGUUGGAAGUGAAAUCUAUGGGCUCAACCCAUAAACUGCUUUCAAAACUGUUUUUCUUGAGUAGUGCAGAGGUAGGCGGAAUUCCCGGUGUAGCGGUGGAAUGCGUAGAUAUCGGGAGGAACACCAGUGGCGAAGGCGGCCUACUGGGCACCAACUGACGCUGAGGCUCGAAAGUGUGGGUAGCAAACAGGAUUAGAUACCCUGGUAGUCCACACCGUAAACGAUAUAACGAGGUGUUGGAGGAUUGACCCCCUCAGUGCCGCAGCUACACCAAUAAGUAAUCCACCUGGGGAGUACGACCGCAAGGUUGAGACUCAAAGGAAUUGACGGGGGCCCGCACAAGCAGUGGAGUAUGUGGUUUAAUUCGACGCAACGCGAAGAACCUUACCAAGUCUUGACAUCCCUUGACGAACAUAGAAAUAUGUUUUCUCUUCGGAGCAAGGAGACAGGUGGUGCAUGGUUGUCGUCAGCUCGUGUCGUGAGAUGUUGGGUUAAGUCCCGCAACGAGCGCAACCCUUACUGUCAGUUACUACGCAAGAGGACUCUGGCAGGACUGCCGUUGACAAAACGGAGGAAGGUGGGGAUGACGUCAAAUCAUCAUGCCCCUUAUGACUUAGGCUACACACGUACUACAAUGGCGUUAAACAAAGAGAAGCAAGACCGCGAGGUGGAGCAAAACUCAGAAACAACGUCCCAGUUCGGACUGCAGGCUGCAACUCGCCUGCACGAAGUCGGAAUUGCUAGUAAUCGUGGAUCAGCAUGCCACGGUGAAUAAAAGGCCGGGCCUUGCACA